rnacentral:rRNA from 1 species
AGUGAACGCUGGCGGUAGGCCUAACACAUGCAAGUCGAACGGCAGCACAGUAAGAGCUUGCUCUUACGGGUGGCGAGUGGCGGACGGGUGAGGAAUACAUCGGAAUCUACUUUUUCGUGGGGGAUAACGUAGGGAAACUUACGCUAAUACCGCAUACGACCUACGGGUGAAAGCAGGGGAUCUUCGGACCUUGCGCGAUUGAAUGAGCCGAUGUCGGAUUAGCUAGUUGGCGGGGUAAAGGCCCACCUAGGCGACGAUCCGUAGCUGGUCUGAGAGGAUGAUAAGCCACACUGGAAGUGAGACACGGUCAAGACUCCUACGGGAGGCAGCAGUGGGGAAUAUUGGACAAUGGGCGCAAGCCUGAUCCAGCCAUACCGAGUGGGUGAAGAAGGCCUUCGGGUUGUAAAGCCCUUUUGUUGGGAAAGAAAAGCAGCAGGUUAAUACCCCGCUGUUCUGACGGUACCCAAAGAAUAAGCACCGGCUAACUUCGUG